GUCAGGAUGGCCGAGUGGUCUAAGGCGCUGCGUUCAGAUCGCAGUCCACAUCUUGUGGGCGUGGGCGUGGGUUCGAAUCCCACUUUUGACA